CCGCAGGCCCGCGCCCCGCCGCCCGGCCCGGCCGCCGCCGGCGCUUCCUGCUCGCGACUUCCUGGGGCGGCGCGUGGAGGCCCCGGCGGCCCUUUCACUUUCCUGAGGCCGCGGGGCGCCCGGCCGGGCGGCGGCGGCGGCGGCGGCUCGGCCCCUCCCCCUCCGACUCAUCCCCUCCCCGGAGCGCACCCGGGGGCCCAGCCAGCCCCGGGGAGGCCGGGCGGGGACGCCCCCACGAGGAGAGCCCGGGCCACCGCCGCCCAGGAGUCCUCCCCGCGGUCCCCGCUCCAUGCACCUGCCUGCGGGCGCCCGGGCUUGAGUUCAAAACUGACCAAAGAGGAGCUCCCCAAGGACCCUUUGUCCUCAAGAACAAGAGGAACAGACCAAAUGAGAGGCACAUUCACUCUUAUCCAACAGAUGUGUCUUGGGUGCCUACCGGGGCCAGAGCGUGCCAGGCACUGAGGCCUCAGUCAACAGGGGCCUUGCCUUUGCAGAAUCCACAGAGCAAGAGGCCUGCGGCAAGAGUGGGCUGUCGCCGAUGCGAGCGUGAGGAAGGGACUUGGGUUCACUUCCUGGGGCGGCCAUAACAAAAGACCUCAGACUGGGGGGCUUAAGACAAUGGACGUUUACGGUCUCACAGGUCUGGAGGCCACAGGUCUAGAUCAAGAUGCUGGCGGGGCCGUGCUCCUUCUGAAGCCUCCAGGGGAGAAUGGGUUUUGUGCCCUUCUCUCAGCUUGCGGCGUCGCUGGCAAUUCUGGGUGUUUCUUAGCUUGUAGGUGCAUCGCUCUAAUCGGCCUCUGUUGUCACCUGGCCUGUCUGUGUUCACAUCAUCUCUUCUCCGUGUGUCUGUGUCUCUGUGUCCCCCCUCUUGUAAGGACACCAGUCAUGUUGGACUUAGGCUGUACCCUACUCCGGGAGGACUUCAACGGAACUGACUGUAUCCGCAAUGAUCCUAUUUCCAAGCUGUGCCGGGUCUUAGUUGCGGCGUGCAUGUGGGAUCUAGUUCCCCCUUCAGGGAUCGAACCCGGGCCCCCUGCGUUGGGAGUGCGGAGUCUUACCCACUGGACCACCAGGGAAGUGCAUGGACAUUCUCAAGCAUAGACAGAAGUGGAGAGAACAUUAUAAAGAAGCCCCAGGCAGACAAGAGUCCACACGCCAAGGAGCCGUAGCCUGACCAAGAAUGGAGGAGCAGGUCUGCCGGGUCCCCAGGGGCCCAGAGAGGAGACGGCCAGGCCUCCGGCCGCCUGGGGCUGCAGAUCUCUUGAUUCGACCCUAGAUGACUCACGUAUUCUGUGAGUCACCCCUUCUGUCCCCACCCAAGGCUCUCCUCCUGGAUGGGAAAAGCCCAGGCAGCAGCCUUAACAGCACUUAGAAUUAUCCUCGGGGAUGUCAGAGAGCUAGAUCUCGUCUGCAAAGCAAGAGGUCUAAGCUGGACAGUAAAGUCGCAGUGUACUCGUCGUCUUUAGAAACGUGGAGAAAAGGCUAAGAGUGGAAAGCAGUUGCCUCUGGGCUGUGAGAAGAGGCACAAAAAGGACAAAGCCGUGUAUUUUCAAACAAACAGAAUAAAAAUAAACAUUAAUGUUAAAAAAAAAAAAAGAUAGAACGAUGUGCUUAGCCUAGGCAAUGGCUUGUUAGCGCUAGGAUUUUAGACCCCGUGAUACCCGAGUUAGGACGCAUUUGGGGGAGAGGAGCUAUGAUAACACCUAACACUUGAGGCAACUGCCAUUUGCGAGGGUGGUCCUUGGCAAACUGCUCGUGUAAGACAGGUGGGCAAAUGCCCCUGCUUCCAGGGCCCUGGCAGUUUUUCCUAGUUGAGAGCUUUCUUGCUUUUCUUCUGUAUUGGGGUGAGGGGAGUGGUCGCUGGAAGAUGCCUGAGUGCCUUGGGCGUAGCUGGACCCUGACUCCAGCGGGGCUGCUAGAGAGGCUUGCGAUGAAUGCAGGGACUUUCGCUUCCAUCAGUCAAGUGUUCCUGGCAGUGGAGCUCCCCUCUGGAGCUCACGUGUUGCCCGAGUCCGCUGUAAAUUCCUCCUAGUUUUAAGCCUAUAAGGUCGUAGCAGGUCAGGGACAGGGAAAUAGGAAGCUGGUCCAUCAACCAGGGAGUCACCCCUCAGCUGAGCUAGUGCAGAUAAAUAGGAUAAGCAAGUUGGAAUAUUUUUAUAAAGUCUCAGCAAGGCUCGAUACUUUUCAGCCUAGGUGUGGUUUGGUAAAAUAUGUGUUAUAAACCAAGGGGCUGUACUUUAAAUCUCCCUCUGGGCCUGUAUUUGGUGCUUUACGCAGAGAGGGUACUUUUACGUGAAACAAUAUGUUAACAGCCUGGUAGGAGAAUGCAAUUACAGUGGACCCUCUGUAUCCUUGGGUUCUGCAUCUGUGGAUUCAACCAACAAUGGAUGGAAAACAUUCGAAAAACAAAAAUUCCAGAAAGCUCCAAAAAGCAAAACUUGAAGUUGCCGCACACCAACGACUAUUGACACAGCACUGACAUUGUAUUAGGUAUUAGAAGUCAUCUAGAGAUGAUUCAAAGUAUACGGGAGGAUGUGUGUAGGUUAUAUGCAAAUAGGCCAUUUUAUAUAAGGAACUUGAGCAUCCUUGGAGUUUGGUAUCUGCGGGGUGGGCAUGGGGGG